ACCGUGCGGUUUAUGCUUUUGUCUUGGGCGGCCGUCCGCUCCCUCAUCCUGCUGAAGUAAGAAAGGAGCAUCUCCACCUUCACGACUUUGGCGUGCGAUGGCUUCGACUGGGGCUUGUAACUGGAGCGGAA
rnacentral:sRNA from 16 species